AGAGAGAGACAUGCGCGCAUAUCAAUAAGCGGAGGAAAAGAAACUAACAAGGAUUCCCUUAGUAACGGCGAGUGAAGCGGGAAGAGCUCAAAUUUGAAUCUUCAAGGUUUUACCUUGACGAAUUGUCAGUUUAAAGAAGUGUUUUCUGCUGAAGUUUUGGUAAAAGUUCUUUGGAAUAGGACAUCAUAGAGGGUGAGAAUCCCGUAUUUGACCAUUAUUUUCAGCUUUGUGAUACACUUUCAAAGAGUCGGAUUGUUUGGGAAUGCAGUCCAAAAUGGGUGGUAAAUUUCAUCUAAAGCUAAAUAUUGGCGAGAGACCGAUAGCGAACAAGUACCGUGAGGGAAAGAUGAAAAGAACUUUGAAAAGAGAGUUAAACAGUACGUGAAAUUGUCAAAAGGGAAGCGUUUGACACCAGUGUUGUUUUCUCGAAAAUCAAUUAAAAAUGGCUCGAUUUUGUAUUGUUGAGACCUUAAAAGCUCACUGUACAUUUUUCGUGUCUUUUUUAAUGCACUUUUCGUUUCAACAAGUCAACAUCAGUUUCUUUUGUUGUAAAAGGGUCAUUGGAAGGUGGCUUUCUUUUCGGAGAAAGUGUUUAUAGCCUUUGGCCUCUGCAAUCGGAGAGACUGAGGUCUGCAGCGUAGACUCUUCGGGGUUAGAUACAUUUGUGCUAAGUUAUAGCUUUUUAUAGACAACUUGUUGACUAUAAUUAGUCUUGUAGCUUACUCGCUUAUGCUAUUUUACCUACGCUUAGGAUGUUGAAGUCAUCGUAUCGCGC
rnacentral:rRNA from 1 species